AUUUGCUAUACACAGAUAAUGUUACAAUAAAAUUAUUAAAAAUUUUGAUUAACAUAUUUGGUAUGACAAUCAGAUUAUUAGUAAUGUGAAAUCAAAAUUUUAAAAUAUUUUCAUAAAAUUUUAUAAAAUUUUAAAUUACUGGAGAAGAGUUUGAUUUUAUUUUUUAAAUUUAAAUCAAAAUCUCCAAAAUACGCCGGAUGAGAGGAGGAAGCGGCAGUUAGAUCAUCAGAGGAGGGGGCGGUGACGAUGGAGGCAAGGAAGGAGAGGAUGUCGAUGCCAGCAUAGAAAUGGGGGCUGUGGUCAG
rnacentral:lncRNA from 1 species